GACAGAGGGUGCAAACGUUGUUCGGAAUUACUGGGCGUAAAGCGUGUGUAGGCGGCUUUGCAAGUCGGAUGUGAAAGCCCCGGGCUCAACCCGGGAAGUGCACUCGAUACUGCAGGGCUUGAGUGUGGGAGAGGUUGGUGGAAUUCUCGGUGUAGAGGUGAAAUUCGUAGAUAUUCGCAAGAACACCAGUGGCGAAGGCGGCUCACUGGCCCGGUACUGACGCUGAGGUGCGAAAGCGUGGGGAGCAAACAGG
rnacentral:rRNA from 1 species